rnacentral:rRNA from 1 species
AUUGAACGCUGGCGGCAGGCCUAACACAUGCAAGUCGAACGGUAACAGGAAGCAGCUUGCUGCUUCGCUGACGAGUGGCGGACGGGUGAGUAAUGUCUGGGAAGCUGCCUGAUGGAGGGGGAUAACUACUGGAAACGGUAGCUAAUACCGCAUAAUGUCGCAAGACCAAAGAGGGGGACCUUCGGGCCUCUUGCCAUCGGAUGUGCCCAGGUGGGAUUCGCUUGUUGGUGGGGUAACGGCUCACCAAGGCGACGAUCCCUAGCUGGUCUGAGAGGAUGACCAGCCACACUGGGACUGAGACGCGGUCCAGACUCCUACGGGAGGCAGCAGUGGGGAAUAUAGCACAAUGGGCGCAAGCCUGAUGCAGCCAUGCCGCGUGUAUGAAGAAGGCCUUCGGGUUGUAAAGUACUUUCAGCGGGGAGGAAGGGAGUAAAGUUAAUACCUUUGCUCAUUGACGUUACCCGCAGAAGAAGCACCGGCUAACUCCGUG